UCAUGGUACAUGAGUGGCUAUCAUACUGGCUAUUAUAUGAUAAUUCCCCCACCACCUCCCAUAUGUCCAGAUUCUCUUGAUGAUGCUGAUGCUUUGGGAAGUAUGUUAAUUUCAUGGUACAUGAGUGGCUAUCAUACUGGCUAUUAUAUGAUAAUUCCCCCACCACCUCCCAUAUG
rnacentral:sRNA from 1 species